CUGGCUCGAGGGCCUUGUACAUAGUAGGCUUUCAUUCACUCGUGUACUUAUACGGUGAGGGUCUACUGUGUGCCAGGCCCUGUCCAG
rnacentral:pre_miRNA from 1 species